UGGUGGAUGGCUCAGUGGUAGAGUGCUUGCCUAGUAUGUAUAAGGACCUGGUUUCAAUCCCCAGUACCAUGAA
rnacentral:tRNA from 1 species